UUCUGGAUGAUGAAAUUACCGGAAUGGAUUACGAUAAUUACAAAUAUGACUUGAAAGAAUUCUUGGCGAACCAACCUGCAGGAAGCGCACCACCAGCGAAUGGUUAGCGCAAGGUUUGAUGCUUCAGAUCUAAAUAAGGUUCUGAAGAAUUAAACCUUGGAACAAAAUCUGACCAACACACCAGAUGCAAACCUGGAAUUUAUUGAAAAUUUUAAAAAUCAAAUGUUCAUAGAAGUUUCAAAUUUAAAAUGUUAAUAUAUUUUCGAAUAAUA